rnacentral:misc_RNA from 1 species
AAGACUAUAGACCUGCGGAGUACCUGCGGAGGGAUCAUUACCGAGUUUUCAACUCCCUAACCCUUCUGUGAACCUACCUAUCGUUGCUUCGGCGGACUCGCCCCAGCCCGGACGCGGACUGGACCAGCGGCCCGCCGGGGACCUCAAACUCUUGUAUUCCAGCAUCUUCUGAAUACGCCGCAAGGCAAAACAAAUGAAUCAAAACUUUCAACAAUGGAUCUCUAGAUCGGAAGAGCACAC